UUUUGGUAGCACAUUUCCCAGCCCAGCAGAGGAGUGGGGAGGGUUCGUGACUAUGCUGUUCAACCUCACAGCAUGCUUGCACUGUAACUACAACGUGACUGAGACAUCUUUAAAACGACAGUGUUCUAUAUUAAAGAUCCCAGUGAUGGCUAAGUGAUUAAAACACAGAGGAGUAGCAGCUGCUAGACUGCUAGAACUGUAAGACUGCUAGAACUGCAUGCUGUUAUGGGGAAGCAAUUAUGCACUGAAUACCUAAAGGAAGCUAUCAAAUGGAUUCCAAGAAUGUGGUCAUCCUGACCCAGCUCAUUCAGAAUCAUUUGUCUCAUAAUAAAAAUUAUGGACAGAAUACACCAGGUGUACAGAAGAAGAUAAAUAGUUCAGAAGUCUAUGUGGAAGCACUGGAAAGUCAAUGGACAUGAGUUUUUCACCAGGAGUAGUUCCUCUGUGGGAAUCAAUCUCUGUGGGAGAUCCUCUGUGGGAAUUCUCUGUGGAAAUUCAAUCUCAGGUGGGAAAAGGCUGAUGAGGAGGUGAUGUUCCAGCUAUAUCAGAUAAUCUUCGUGAAGACUGAGGUGAAAUUUUGAUGCUGCCAUUGUUUAGUUUCCUUUUAAUAACUCAGAAGCAUUGUGAAAUGUACUUUGCACACCACCAUUAACACUGUAGCCAUUCAGAAGCCAGACGUACCAUUGCAACUAUUUUCUGCUCCCCUUUAUGGCAUGACAGUGGUCCGGAGAGUAUAGAGAAACAAAUCAGAAACUAUGAUGUUGAUGUGACCAGCUGAAAAGUCACAUCCACCUCUGGACUCCACUCAUUAAACUGUCUCCUCUGGGAUUUAUGACUUUUCCUUAAUAAGCUUCAAAGUAUUACCAUUUUCUUUUUGUCAGGCUUCUUCCUCUCAUCCCCUCUCCCUCUGGCUUAUGUUAAAGAAAAUAUUACUACACAAUAAAUAAAGAGCAUAUAUUUGGCUAAAAGCAAGCAUUAUGGCAAGGUAUUAAACCUCUCAUCAUUAUAAUUAAG